rnacentral:rRNA from 1 species
GACGUAGGUGGCGAACGUUAUCCGGAAUUAUUGGGCGUAAAGGGUGCGUAGGUGGCCUGACAAGUUAUCAGUGGCAAAUCGAGGCUCAACCUCGUGGAAACUGGUAAUACUGUUCGGCUUGAGUACAGGAGAGGUUAACGGAACUCUAUGUGGAGCGGUAAAAUGCACAGAUAUAUGGAAGAACAUCAAUAAAGGCGAAGGCAGUUAACUAUUCUGUUACUGACGCUGAGGCACGGAAGCGUGGGGAGCAAAACGG